rnacentral:rRNA from 1 species
GGAGACAGGUGCUGCAUGGCUGUCGUCAGCUCGUGUCGUGAGAUGUGGGUUAAGUCCCGCAACGAGCGCAACCCUUGCCUUUAGUUGCCAGCAGUUCGGCUGGGCACUCUAAAGGGACUGCCGGUGUUAAACCGGAGGGAAGGUGGGGGAUGACGUCAAGUCCUCAUGGCCUUUAUGACCAGGGCUACACACGUACUACAAUGGCCGAUACAAAGGGCAGCGACACUGCGAGGUGAAGCCAAUCCCGUAAAAUCGGUCUCAGUCCGGAUUGGAGUCUGCAACUCGACUCCAUGAAGUUGGAAUCGCUAGUAAUCGUGGAUCAGCAUGCCACGGUGAAUACGUUCCCGGGCCUU